GACAGAGGCCUCAAGCGUUAGGCGGAAUCACUGGGCUUAAAGCGUGUGUAGGCGGGUCGUUAAGUACCUUGUGAAAUCCCACGGCUCACCCGUGGAACUGCUGGGUAUACUGGCGAUCUUGGGCCAUUCAGGGGCAACUGGAACAAGCGGUGGAGCGGUGAAAUGCGCAGAUAUCGGGAGGAACACCGGUGGCGAAGGCGGCGAUCUGGGUCGAUACUGACGCUGAGGUGCGAAAGCGUGGGGAGCAAACAGG
rnacentral:rRNA from 1 species